rnacentral:rRNA from 1 species
UACGUAGGGGGCAAGCGUUGUCCGGAUUUAUUGGGCGUAAAGAGCGUGUAGGCGGCUGGGUAGGUCCGUUGUGAAAACUCGAGGCUCAACCUCGGGACGCCGAUGGAAACCAUCCAGCUAGAGUCCGGAAGAGGAGAGUGGAAUUCCUGGUGUAGCGGUGAAAUGCGCAGAUAUCAGGAAGAACACCCGUGGCUAAGGCGGCUCUCUAGUACGGUACUGACGCUGAGACGCGAAAGCGUGGGGAGCGAACAGG